rnacentral:rRNA from 1 species
UACGUAGGGUGCAAGCGUUGUCCGGAAUUAUUGGGCGUAAAGAGCUUGUAGGCGGUUUGUCGCGUCUGCCGUGAAAAUCCGAGGCUCAACCUCGGACUUGCGGUGGGUACGGGCAGACUAGAGUGUGGUAGGGGAGACUGGAAUUCCUGGUGUAGCGGUGAAAUGCGCAGAUAUCAGGAGGAACACCGAUGGCGAAGGCAGAUCUCUGGGCCGUAACUGACGCUGAGGAGCGAAAGCAUGGGGAGCGAACAGG